rnacentral:rRNA from 1 species
AUUGAACGCUGGCGGCAGGCCUAACACAUGCAAGUCGAGCGGAUGACGGGAGCUUGCUCCUCGAUUCAGCGGCGGACGGGUGAGUAAUACCUAGGAAUCUGCCUGAUAGUGGGGGACAACGUUUCGAAAGGAACGCUAAUACCGCAUACGUCCUACGGGAGAAAGCAGGGGACCUUCGGGCCUUGCGCUAUCAGAUGAGCCUAGGUCGGAUUAGCUAGUUGGUGAGGUAAUGGCUCACCAAGGCGACGAUCCGUAACUGGUCUGAGAGGAUGAUCAGUCACACUGGAACUGAGACACGGUCCAGACUCCUACGGGAGGCAGCAGUGGGGAAUAUUGGACAAUGGGCGAAAGCCUGAUCCAGCCAUGCCGCGUGUGUGAAGAAGGUCUUCGGAUUGUAAAGCACUUUAAGUUGGGAGGAAGGGCAGUAAGCUAAUACCUUGCUGUUUUGACGUUACCGACAGAGUAAGCACCGGCUAACUCUGUGCCAGCAGCCGCAGUAAAAC